rnacentral:rRNA from 1 species
AAGAGAUGGCGACCGGCGCACGGGUGAGUAACACGUAUCCAACCUGCCGAUAACUCCGGAAUAGCCUUUCGAAAGAAAGAUUAAUACCGGAUGGCAUACGAAUAUUGCAUGAUAUUUUUAUUAAAGAAUUUCGGUUAUCGAUGGGGAUGCGUUCCAUUAGUUUGUUGGCGGGGUAACGGCCCACCAAGACUACGAUGGAUAGGGGUUCUGAGAGGGAGGUCCCCCACAUUGGAACUGAGACACGGUCCAA